rnacentral:rRNA from 1 species
GAUGAACGCUGGCGGCGUGCCUAAUACAUGCAAGUCGAGCGAACAGAUGAGGAGCUUGCUCCUCUGACGUUAGCGGCGGACGGGUGAGUAACACGUGGAUAACCUACCUAUAAGACUGGGAUAACUUCGGGAAACCGGAGCUAAUACCGGAUAAUAUAUUGAACCGCAUGGUUCAAUAGUGAAAGACGGUUUUGCUGUCCCUUAUAGAUGGAUCCGCGCCGCAUUAGCUAGUUGGUAAGGUAACGGCUUACCAAGGCAACGAUGCGUAGCCGACCUGAGAGGGUGAUCAGCCACACUGGAACUGAGACACGGUCCAGACUCCUACGGGAGGCAGCAGUAGGGAAUCUUGCGCAAUGGGCGAAAGCCUGACGGAGCAACGCCGCGUGAGUGAUGAAGGUCUUCGGAUCGUAAAGCUCUGUUAGUAGGGAAGAACAAAUGUGUAAGUAACUAUGCACGUCUUGACGGUACCUAAUCAGAAAGCCACGGCUAACUACGUG